rnacentral:lncRNA from 1 species
CAGCUCUUUUGAAGUCGCCGGGAGCCAGCUCGGGAAGCCUGCAGGCUGUGAGCACGUUGAUCAAAGGUCCCUUUGCGGGCUCAAAUUAACAGGGAGCUGGCGAGCCCGCGCAGCACCUGCCUGGGAAGAGCAGCGCCACAGCAAACCGGCUCAUCUUGCCGGGAGUAUUUGGAAAUGAACCUUGGACUUUAAGAACGCUUGGAGUCAUUGAACCACACCCAACUCCUAUUCUGACAUUUCACUGCUAUCCAGGAUUUACAGAAAAUGUUAGAAAAACUCUGCAGCAAUGUUAUUUUGAAAUUUAUAAAGCCUUUACAAAAAUGUGAAGAAAGAUGUAUAUAUUUGUGGCAUCUUGAUCUCUACUAUAAAUUGCGAAAUGAUUGGAUUGAGCUUAAGGUAUUAAAGCUUUUAAUUAGAAAAUUUUAAAUAAAUGAUGUUCUGGAUAUGUCAUGCAUGUAACUUUGGAGAAAAAUGUCAACUACGUGUAACACCCCCUGACUUGCCAUUAUACCUAUUAUGGAUUCAAAGGAAUUUAAUACACCUGUCUAGUUUAGUCUGGUCUAUCUUUUUUUUCCC